rnacentral:lncRNA from 1 species
CUUGUAGCAGUUUUACUUUGUAGAAAUAUGUCAAAAUUGAUAAGUGAUGAUAUUUUUAUUGAGGCUAAUAUAUUAUCCUUUGGUGCCAUGAAUGGAUGAAGAAACUUUUGGAAGGCUAAACUAGUGGAUACAAGAAACUUAAGCAAAUUAUUACACCACCUGGGUGUGAGAGAUAAUGAAUAUUAUCUACUAGGUAUCAGCAAACAGGUGUCCAAGGUGAUCAAUUCAGGACUCUUCCACUGAAGAGAUGUGAAGUGUAAGUUUAACUGAAGUAUCAUUGCAAUUGUGUGCCUUCUCAGUUAUUGGGCAAUUUAAAGAGCAUGAUGAAUGUUUUUAGUAUAAUGGUGUAAAUCCUUUUGAUUUGUUGCAUGAAAGACAUGUGGGAUCAUGUAGCACCUGCUUUGGCAUUGAUUCUCAGGUGUGUGAGUUGCUCCUCUGAUUUUAGAUCACAUUUGUUCUCAUCACUAGGCCUACGCACAUUGAUAUUGACACAGUUUUAUUUUACUUUUUGACAUAUGAGAAAUCAUACCAUGUUUGAAAUUGUAAGGGUAUAUUUCAUGGAGCCUGUAUUCCCUUUUCUCAGUGCAUUUCUGUCAUGUUCUAAUCCCCAGACACAAAGUAGAAGCCAUCAAAGCCUACGCUAAUACAGGCAGGAGGACAGAGUUUGAUGCUAACACUGCAUGAAUGUGUGGAUAUCUUUGUCAUAUUUACAUAUGAGUGAUUAUGAAUCCCUUUUGCUUUUCAGUGUCUUCUCAGAAACCACCAGCCUUGAAGGCUACAAGUGUCAAGGAAGAUUCUGUUUUGGAUAUAGCCAGAGAAAAAAAGGAUGGAGAAAAAUCUAGGACAGGUAAUUUUGAAAACAGAUUUAAUGUCAUGUUCAGUCCAGAUAGAUGAGAAGUUCUCUUCCCCAAAUAAAUCAGCAGGGGGCUCGUCGAAGCUGCACUUUCUGAUUCAGCAGGCCAGAGAUUCUUCAUUUGUAGUAAGUUCUUGAGUGAUGCUGAUGCUGAUGCUGCUGGUCUGGAACAUGACCUUCGCUGUAAGAUUAUACACUUCCACACAUUGAAGUUGGGAAGAAGAUAUAUGGAGAGCAGUUGAAGACAUAAGGGGCUCUGGGGAACAGCAUAGUUUUGCUUUAAUUCUCCAGCUUGUUCUCAGUAAGGGUGGAAGGAGAAAGAGAGGUAGUAUCGAUUUUACAGACGUCACAUCGUACUGCUAAGAACAGACAGAAAACUUGUUGUAAUAACCCGAACACACUGUAGGAGAACUAAGGAGACCCCUGGUGUAGCAAUCAUUUUCCCAAGGAAGACGGAUUGUGAGGCAGGAAGGUGUGAAAAGAGGCAGUCAUUUAUAUAAUUUUGGGGUUUGUGCUGAGGAAACCUGAGUGAACUCACUUCAGAUGCAUUUGGAAUAUUUUAAUAAAAAAUACUUGAUUUUGGCUGCUGCAGGAACUGCUGGAAGAAGGCAACAAUCCUAGAAUUGGCAUAAAAACACACUGACUCAUUACU